GAUGAACGCUAGCUACAGGCUUAACACAUGCAAGUCGAGGGGCAGCACUAGGUAGCAAUACUGAGGUGGCGACCGGCGCACGGGUGCGUAACGCGUAUCCAACCUUCCCGUUACUCUUGGAUAGCCUUCCGAAAGGGAGAUUAAUACAAGAUGGUAUUCAAAUUCCGCAUGUUAUUUGAAUUAAAGAUUUAUCGGCAACGGAUGGGCAUGCGGCGCAUUAGCUAGUUGGCGGGGUAACGGCCCACCAAGGCGACGAUGCGUAGGGGUUCUGAGAGGAAGGUCCCCCACACCGGUACUGAGACACGGACCAGACUCCUACGGGAGGCAGCAGUGAGGAAUAUUGGUCAAUGGGCGCGAGCCUGAACCAGCCAAGUCGCGUGAGGGAAGACGGUCCUACGGAUUGUAAACCUCUUUUGUCGGGGAGCAAGGGCUCUACGUGUAGAGUGGUGAGAGUACCCGAAGAAAAAGCAUCGGCUAACUCCGUG
rnacentral:rRNA from 1 species